AUUGAACGCUGGCGGCAUGCCUUACACAUGCAAGUCGAACGGUAACAGGUCUUCGGAUGCUGACGAGUGGCGCACGGGUGAGUAAUACAUCGGAACGUGCCCGAUCGUGGGGGAUAACGAGGCGAAAGCUUUGCUAAUACCGCAUACGAUCUACGGAUGAAAGCGGGGGAUCUUCGGACCUCGCGCGGACGGAGCGGCCGAUGGCAGAUUAGGUAGUUGGUGGGAUAAAAGCUUACCAAGCCGACGAUCUGUAGCUGGUCUGAGAGGAUGAUCAGCCACACUGGGACUGAGACACGGCCCAGACUCCUACGGGAGGCAGCAGUGGGGAAUUUUGGACAAUGGGCGAAAGCCUGAUCCAGUCAUGCCGCGUGCAGGAUGAAGGCCUUCGGGUUGUAAACUGCUUUUGUACGGAACGAAAAGCCUCUUUCUAAUAAAGAGGGGUCAUGACGGUACCGUAAGAAUAAGCACCGGCUAACUACGUG
rnacentral:rRNA from 1 species